UACGUAGGUGGCAAGCGUUUGUCCGGAUUUAUUGGGUUUAAAGGGUGCGUAGGCGGCUUUGUAAGUCAGUGGUGAAAUAUGGCAGCUCAACUGUCAAGGUGCCAUUGAUACUGCGGAGCUUGAGUACAGAUGAGGUAGGCGGAAUUGACGGUGUAGCGGUGAAAUGCUUAGAUAUCGUCAAGAACACCUAUAGCGAAGGCAGCUUACUAGGCUGUAACUGACGCUGAGGCACGAAAGUGUGGGGAUCAAACAGG
rnacentral:rRNA from 1 species